rnacentral:rRNA from 1 species
AACGAACGCUGGCGGCAGGCCUAACACAUGCAAGUCGAACGCCGUAGCAAUACGGAGUGGCAGACGGGUGAGUAACGCGUGGGAACAUACCCCUCGGUUCGGAAUAACUCAGGGAAACUUGAGCUAAUACCGGAUACGUCCGAGGUUUUAAUCGGCCUUGGAGAAAGAUUUAUCGCCGGAGGAUUGGCCCGCGUCUAGAUUAGCUUGUUGGUGAGGUAAUGGCUCACCAAGGCGACGAUCAGUAGCUGGUCUGAGAGGAUGAUCAGCCACAUUGGGACUGAGACACGGCCCAAACUCCUACGGGAGGCAGCAGUGGGGAAUAUUGGACAAUGGGCGAAAGCCUGAUCCAGCCAUGCCGCGUGAGUGAUGAAGGCCUUAGGGUUGUAAAGGCUCUGUUGUUGGGGACGAAGGGCGAAGGGUUAAUAGCCCCAGCUUGACGGUACCUUCGAGGAAGCUCCGGCUAACUACGUGCCAGCCGCCGCUGU